rnacentral:rRNA from 1 species
UACAGAGGGUGCAAGCGUUAAUCGGAGUUACUGGGCGUAAAGGGCGCGUAGGCGGUGAUGUGAGUGUGAUGUGAAAGCCCCGGGCUUAACCUGGGAAGUGCAUCGCAAACGACAUGACUGGAGUAGAUGAGAGGGUGGCGGAAUUUCCGGUGUAGCGGUGAAAUGCGUAGAGAUCGGAAGGAACGUCGAUGGCGAAGGCAGCCACCUGGCAUCAUACUGACGCUGAGGCGCGAAAGCGUGGGGAGCGAACAGG